CGAGAAAGUCGGCUUGUUGAUCUCUGUUUUGGCAGAGGUAGGAAAGUCCGGACACCACAGAGCAGCAAAGCGGAUAACAUCCGUCACCCGUGAGGGUAGGACAAGUGCAACAGAAAGCAGGUACAGUUCGGCUGUAGUGAAACCAGGUAAACUCUUUGCGGUGCAAUGGUAAGUAUAUCGGUUCUUUUCAGCAAUGAAAAUAGGAGUUGCUCGCUCUGAAAACCGAGGGGUAAUCAGCUAAAGUUUUGCAGUAAUGUAAAGCGCAGAUAAAUAACAGGCACUUCUUUCAGGAGUACAGAAUCCGGCUUAUAGAUUUUCUCGUGAU
rnacentral:RNase_P_RNA from 1 species